AUUGUAUGAAAGCAAAUGUGUUAAAAUACACCCCACUAAAUCUGUUCUUAUCAGUUUAAUAUCUGAUGCAUCCUCUAGCCAAGGACAGUAUUUUAAAUGGAUUUUUGGAACUAGGAGGUGGAAUAGGAGCUUGCUCCCUCCACUCCACACAUCGACCUGGUAUUGUAGUGCUUCCAGGACACUGCACCCUCU
ensembl:snRNA U2 U2 spliceosomal RNA